rnacentral:lncRNA from 1 species
AGAUCUGCUUAAUUCCACAGGCUGAUCUUUAGACACUUCAAACAGCAAGGGCUAGAAAACCUCAGUAUGACUACUCAGAGUUGAUUAAGAAAGUUGUUCAUCAAUUAGAAAGGUAAAUCUCCGUGCCAGCUGACGCAAGUGAGGCUGACAGAGGCAGUAUAUUCCUGAUGGCACCAAGGCCCAACGAUUAUAGAAUGCUUCACUGUGAGUAGAAGUGCAGGUUUGAGGACAUGUUCCUAAAACAUCCAUCCAUAAAACAGAUGACUUCUGCCCAGGUUCGGGGAACAUUUGACAACAAUUCAAAAACCACUGGAGCUUACCUGACAGAAUAAAAAUAGCCCUCCUACCUUAGGAAAGAUUGGCUUAACUACCUUUCCUCUCUUUUCAAAGUUACUGAGGCAAGUUUCUCUCAGCACAAAUGUCUGACGAUAAGUACCUUUUAAUAGAGUCAUUAUUUGGUCAACUUCGCUCAAACCUGAGAUAAUUUGACAUUUGCAUAGCUAAUAGUCCUUUCAAUGUGCCUUGAUACCUCCAUUAAAUUUAAUGACUUUAAAUCAGUGAUGGAAGAAUGAGCAUCAGAAUCCUUGAAAAAGGGGUUACCACUACUCGACACGCCUCCUUCCAUGUGAUGGUCCCCGUUUUAGAGCUGCUGCAUGUAAUUGGAGACAUUUUUCUUAUACGGGAGCUUGUUACUGAUACAAGUGGUUGAAGACAUCACCUUUCAACAAAUACAACUGGCACACCCCUCAAGAUCAUCUUCCAGCACCCAAACUUCUCCCUUGCAGAUGGACCUUAUAUAUAAACUGAAAAUUCAAUU